GACGAACGCUGGCGGCGUGCUUAACACAUGCAAGUCGAGCGGUAAGGCCCUUUCGGGGGUACGACGAGCGGCGAACGGGUGAGUAACACGUGGGUGACCUGCCCUCAGCUCUGGGAUAAGCCCGGGAAACUGGGUCUAAUACUGGAUAUGACUCCAUGACGCAUGUUGUGGGGUGGAAAGCCUUGUGCGGCUGGGGAUGGGCCCGCGGCCUAUCAGCUUGUUGGUGGGGUGAUGGCCUACCAAGGCGACGACGGGUAGCCGGCCUGAGAGGGCGACCGGCCACACUGGGACUGAGACACGGCCCAGACUCCUACGGGAGGCAGCAGUGGGGAAUCUUGCGCAAUGGGCGAAAGCCUGACGCAGCGACGCCGCGUGAGGGAUGACGGCCU
rnacentral:rRNA from 1 species